rnacentral:lncRNA from 1 species
CCGAAAUGGAUUAUCAUUUUGGUUUUUUGUUUUUUUUUUAGUUUUGUUCUCAAUUAACAGCAGUGAGCGGGUGUCGUGAGUCUCUCAUGGAAUGAGCACCAGCUUCGAGAUGCUUUGCAUCACCAUUUGGCAGCGUUGAAGACGACCAGAAAUAUUUGAGCAGCUCGUCAAACGGUGGGGUCCGAAGCUCUUCAAUGGAGGUUGUGGUUGGUAGAUUGAAUGACCUCUUUCUUGGUGUGGAACAUGAUGGUUCAUCAACCUGCAAUAUAUAAUUGGAGGGUUUUUCCGGCAUGAUCUGUAAUCUCUACAAUCUUAUCAUAGUGUCCACCCUUCAGUUCCCUCAGUUCUCCGCAACAAGGAACAAUCAUGGAAUCAAGAUUUCGAUAUGCAUCAUGGUCAAGUUGUAAAGCAUCUGCACAUUUUUGUAUUAAAAAUGAAAAAUUAAAAUUUGUUUCAACAGGAGAAAUACAAUUAUUGAU